UGACUCAGUUGGUAGAGUAUGGCACCUGCAAUGUCAGGAUGGUGGGUUCGAAUCCCGC
rnacentral:tRNA from 1 species